rfam:Triticum aestivum genome assembly, contig: Triticum_aestivum_CS42_TGACv1_scaffold_031775_1BL
GAAGUACUCCCUCCGUCCCAAAAUACUUGUCGGAGAAAUGGAUUAAAUUGAAUGUAUCUAUAACUAAAAUACGCCUAGAUCGGAGAAAUGGAUAAAAUUGAAUGUAUCUAUAACUAAAAUACGUCUAGAUUCAUCCAUUUCCCCGACAAGUAUUUCCGGACGGAGGGAGUACCAU